rnacentral:rRNA from 1 species
UGGCGAACGGGUGAGUAACACGUGGGUGAUCUGCCCUGCACUUUGGGAUAAGCCUGGGAAACUGGGUCUAAUACCAGAUAGGACAAUGCUUUGGAUGGUGUGGUGGAAAGUUUUUUCGGUGUGGGAUGAGCUUGCGGCCUAUCAGCUUGUUGGUGGGGUAAUGGCCUACCAAGGCGUCGACGGGUAGCCGGCCUGAGAGGGUGUACGGCCACAUUGGGACUGAGAUACGGCCCAG